rnacentral:rRNA from 1 species
CACCGCGGUUAUACGAGAGGCCCAAGUUGAUGGUUACCGGCGUAAAGAGUGGUUACGGAACUUUUAAACUAAAGCCGAACACCCUUUAGGCUGUCAUACGCACCUGAGGGCACGAAGCCCCCUCACGAAAGUGGCUUUACCCCCCCCCCCCGAACCCACGACAGCUAUGAUA